GCGGAUGCAGCUCGAUGGUCGAGGAAUGGUUUUCCAGACCAAAGGCGCAGGUUCGAUUCCUGCAACCGCU
rnacentral:tRNA from 1 species